rnacentral:sRNA from 1 species
UUUGUUCCUUCAUCACCCUGGCCAGGCUGAGGUCCAGGCAGUGUUCUCUGACGGAGCUGUCUCUUUGCACACGAGGAGCCUGAAAUAUGGAAAAGUAAGUCGGGCUCUUGAUGUUCCUGUUUGCUGACAGACUACAAGGCUAUUUUUGAAUCCCCAUAGCUCUCUGGAAUUCUGGCCUAAAGAACCCCAGUAGCUAAGCAUUAAUAGAGGCUGGCAUCCCACAAACUGAUCGUGUUCCUUAAACGUAACAUCAGGAAGGUCAGGGUUCACAGGGUCAUGGGUCAGUAGCCUUGUAAAGAACAAGUUUUAUCCUUUUUCUCCAAGGAGACUGACUUUCACCAGAAGAGCCCCUCCAACUGUGGGCUGGGAGGCGCAGCUGUCUCUCUUCCUCCAGGGGGCGCUGCAGCUCAGCACUGGGGCUGAGGCUGUCCUGGGAACAAAGGCAGGCUGGGUCUGGUUAAACAGCCCUUAGACAAACGUCCAGUCAGUCCAGUGGAUGUUAUUGCUGGCAAAGCUUGCUCUGUCAUCUGAGCCUCUAAAUGGAAUUUCACUGCUUUUCUUGUAUGAGGUUGCAUUAUUGAAGCUAUUUACUAUUUUAAGGAGAGCAUACUUCCUAAAACAAAUUAGGAUUUACUAGUCUCUUAGUUUUAUCUGGGUGAACGUUUUUAUUUUCUGAGUGGAACAAAAACCUCUUCCCUUAAUGGAGUGGCUGCAGACAGCCACGUUGAUGUACAUGGAGUAGGCAGAGGACUGCUGCAGUAUGCUGACUUUCACAACCCUGGGUCCUGCGGACUCUUCCUUGGCAGGACGUGGACUUGAGCUGUCCUGCCAGGACCAGACAUGGAUUUGCACCCAGCUCCACCCAUCUCCUUACCUACCCAGAGGCACACAUCUCACAGGCAAGAUGAGUGUUUGGGGUUCAGGUAUGAGCUAGGGUCAUGGAACAACGCAGUGCUCCUGGGCCAGCAGGAGGCUCCAGCUCACUUCCUCAUUGGCUUCAGCUGCUCUAAUGUCUGGCACAUGAGUUCUGGCUUAGAGUGCAAGGAAGACUGCAAAGGGAAAUGACAGAGAAGAGUAUUGAAGGUCACCUUCUGCUGGGAUGUAUGAAUAGCCUCUGAGUCCCAAAGCGUUCUCUGCAAAAAUGUGUACUAUGUGUAUGCAUGUAGGCGACAGCAAUUAUAAACAGGAAGGACACCAAUUUGAAUAUACUUAGGAUGUAUAUUCUGUAGUCUCCUUUUCAUUCAUCCCGCCGUUCUUGCAGUGACCUAGCUUCGUGAUAUAUUUCUUUAGCUAGGUCAGGGGGUUUUGGUCCAGGUUUCCCCCUCCCUGGUGAAACGGCAGAAGACCCACUUUCAUGAUUUGCCAUGUGGUGCCUCAGUGAUUCUCGGUAACAACGGCUUCAUCUGGAUUUACCCAACACCUGAGCACAAAGAAGAGGAAGCAGGGGGCUUCAUUGCAAACCUGGAGCCUGUCUCUCUUGCUGAUCGAGAGGUGAUAUCCCGGCUUCGGAACUGCAUCAUCUCUCUGGUAACUCAGAGGAUGAUGCUGUAUGAUACCAGCAUCCUGUACUGCUAUGAAGCAUCCCUUCCACAUCAGAUCAAAGACAUCUUAAAGCCAGAAAUAAUGGAGGAGAUUGUGAUGGAAACACGCCAGAGGCUUUUAGAACAGGAGGGAUAAGGAGGUGCUCCAGAAGCACGGGACUGUGGACCUUGCAGGAGUGAAGACUGUGAUGUGUGGUCCCCAUAUGUGGCUCAGCGAAGACUCGAGAGAUCAUCCCUUUGUCUGCCUUGACGGCCCUGUGACGGCCUCCAGCCCACAGGCCUGCUUUCUCCUGUCCUAACACCAAGCCUGGGUGGCAGAUGAACAGUGCUUCCUUGGGUUGCCAGCUGAGUCCCGGUAUUAGGGAAUAGUUUCAGCUCUUUCAAAGUGCACAGUGUUACAGUCGAAUGGGCUCCCAUCCUGGAAUAAUAUGGAGAAUCCUUUGUCUUCCACUCACUGUCAUUCACAAGGCACAGUGCCCCAUGAAAUUGCCCCAAUAGAAAACAUGGCAUCCCUGACCUCCAAAUGGUCUGUUUUGGCCUCCAUUCCUAUAUCCUUUAAAUGACUGAGAAUGCAGCUGGUGAAGUUGGAAGAAUAAAGUUAACCAAGCAGGCCAGGCGCGGUGGCUCACGCCUAUAAUCCCAGCACUUAGGGAGGGCAAGGCGGGCAGAUCACCUGAGGUCAAUAGUUCGAGACCAGCCUGGCCAACAAGGUGAAACCCCAUCUCUACUAAAAAUACAAAAAAUUAGCCAGGUGUGGUGGUGCGCACCUGUAGUCCCAGCUAUUUGGGAGGCUGAGGUGGGAGAAUCACUUGAACCUGGGAGGCGGAGGUUGCAGUGAGCUGAAAUCGCGUAUCGCACUCCCGCCUGGGUGACAGAGCGAGACUCUGUUUCAAAGAAAAAAAACAAGCAGCCUUUUGCUUGGUUGGAAUCUGAUUUUCUGUUGCGUGUUCCUUGUAGCCAUAGAUGUGAUUAUGUCCACACCGGGCUGCCUUAAUCUGUCCUGCUUGGAGAGUGACUUGUAAGAUGCUGAAUUAUUCAUGAUAAUAGAGUGAAUGUUCUGGGUCCAUGUACGCAGAUAAACAUGAAGAAAAUAAGCUGAGAAAAAUGGAGACUGGAAAAGCAAAGCUGUUUUCGUCCUAUAAUUGAAGUAGUGUGGAGCAUUAACUUGUGGAUAAUUCAGAGUUAAAAGAUAAAAAGACGCCAGAGUUCUCGCUGAAGAA